rnacentral:rRNA from 1 species
CCUACGGGUGGCAGCAGUGGGGGAUAUUGCACAAUGGGGGAAACCCUGAUGCAGCGACGCCGCGUGUGGGAAGACGGUCUUCUGGAUUGUAAACCACUGUCCCCAGGGACGAAAAUGACGGUACCUGGGGAGGAAGCUACGGCGAACAACGUGCCUGCAGCCGCGGUAAUAGGUAGGGAGCAAGCGUUGUCCGGAAUUACUGGGGGUAAAGGGAGCGAAGGCGGGGAUGCAGGUUGGGUGUCAAAACUACCGGCUCAACCGAUAGUCGCACUCAAAACUGCAAAUCUUGAGUGAAGUAGAGGCAGGCGGAAUUCCUAGUGUAGCGGUGAAAUGCGUAGAUAUUAGGAGGAACACCAGUGGCGAAGGCGGCCUGCUGGGCUUUUACUGACGCUGAGGCUCGAAAGUGUGGGGAGCAAACAGGAUUAGAUACCCGGGUAGUC